UUUUGGGGUCCCAUAAUUUUGGGGUCCCAGUUUUGGUGUACCGUCUUUUUAAGGUCCCAUUGCUUUGAGAUCCUGAAGUUUUGGGGUCCCAUAAUUUUGGGGUCCCAUUGUUUUGGGAUCCCAUAAUUUUGGGGUCCCUCUCUUUCGGUGCCCCAUUUUUUGGGAUCCCAAUUGUUUGGGACCACACAUUUUGGGGGUCCCUCUCUUUGGGGUUCCCACUUUUUAGGGUUUCCUCUUUUGGGGGGUUCCCCUCUUUGGAGUCCCACUUUUGGGGUCUCUCUCUUUGGGGUCCCACUUUUUGGGGGGGUUCCACUCUUUGGGGUCCCACUUUUGGGGUCCCUCUCUUUGAGGUCCCACUUUUGAGGUCCCACUUUUGGGGUCCCUCUCUUUGGGGUCCCUCUUUUUUGGGGGGGUUCCACUCUUUGGGUUCCACUUUUGGGGUCCCUCUGUUUGGGGUCCCACUUUUUGGGGUCCCUCUCUUUGGUCUCCCUCUUUUUUGGGGGGGUCCAUCUUUUUGGUGUCCCACUUUUGGGGUCCCACUUUGGGGUCCCUCUCUUUGGGUUCCCAUUUUGGGGUCCUACUUUGGGGUCCCUCUCUUUGGGGGGUCCCACUUUUGGGGUCCCACUUUUGGGGCCCCACUCUUUGGGGUCCCUCUUUUUCUUGGGGGGGCCUCUUUUUGGUGUCCCACUUUUGGGGUCCCACUUUGGGGUCCCUCUCUUUGGUCUCCCUCUUUUUGGGGUCCUAUUUUGGGGUCCCUCUUUUUGGGAUCCUACUUUGGGGUCCCUCUCUUUGGGGUCCCUCUCUUUGGGGUCCCACUUUUGGGGUCCCUCUCUUUGGGGUCCCUCUUUUUGGGGUCCCACUUUUGGGGUCCCUCUCUUUGGGGGGUCCCACAUUUGGGGUCCCACUUUUUGGGAUCCCACUGUUUGGGGUCCCUCUUUUUUGGGGGGGUCCAUCUUUUUGGAG
ensembl:lncRNA